GAAUUUCUGCUGCAUCAUUUAUAUUCCUUAAUCGGUUUAUUUAUGUUGUGGCUUUUUCUGGUGAUUAUAUUUCGGUAUGAUUAUCCAGAUUGUUACUUUGAGAAAAUUAGAGUGCUUAAAGCAGGCUUUUGCCUUGAAUACUUUAGCAUGGAAUAACUAAGUAGGACUUUGGUUCUAUUUUGUUGGUUUAAGAGCCAAAGUAAUGAUUAAUAGGAACAGUUGGGGGCAUUCGUAUUUAACUGUCAGAGGUGAAAUUCUUAGAUUUGUUAAAGACGAACUACUGCGAAAGCAUUUGCCAAGGAUGUUUUCAUUAAUCAAGAACGAAAGUUAGGGGAUCGAAGACGAUCAGAUACCGUCGUAGUCCUAACCAUAAACUAUGCCGACUAGAGAUUGGA
rnacentral:rRNA from 1 species